rnacentral:rRNA from 1 species
GACGAACGCUGGCGGCGUGCUUAACACAUGCAAGUCGAACGGAAAGGCCCUGCUUUUGUUGGGUGCUCGAGUGGCGCACGGGUGAGUAACACGUGAGUAACCUGCCCUUUACUUUGGGAUAACUUCAGGAAACUUGGGCUAAUACCUGAUAUGAGCUCCUGCUGCAUGGUGGGGUUUGGAAAGUUUCGGCGGUUGGGGAUGGACUCGCGGCUUAUCAGCUUGUUGGUGGGGUAGUGGCUUACCAAGGCUUUGACGGGUAGCCGGCCUGAGAGGGUGACCGGCCACAUUGGGCCUGAGAUACGGCCCAGAAUCCUACGGGAGGCAGCAGUGGGGAAUAUUGCACAAUGGGCGGAAGCCUGAUGCAGCAACGCCGCGUGCGGGAUGACGGCCUUCGGGUUGUAAACCGCUUUCGCCUGUGACGAAGCGUGAGUGACGGUAAUGGGUAAAGAAGCACCGGCUAACUACGUG